rnacentral:rRNA from 1 species
GACGAACGCUGGCGGCGUGCUUAACACAUGCAAGUCGAACGGAAAGGCCCUGCUUUUGUGGGGUGCUCGAGUGGCGAACGGGUGAGUAACACGUGAGUAACCUGCCCUUGACUUUGGGAUAACUUCAGGAAACUGGGGCUAAUACCGGAUAGGAGCUCCUGCUGCAUGGUGGGGGUUGGAAAGUUUCGGCGGUUGGGGAUGGACUCGCGGCUUAUCAGCUUGUUGGUGGGGUAGUGGCUUACCAAGGUUUUGACGGGUAGCCGGCCUGAGAGGGUGACCGGCCACAUUGGGACUGAGAUACGACCCAGACUCCUACGGGAGGCAGCAGUGGGGAAUAUUGCGCAAUGGGCGGAAGCCUGAUGCAGCAACGCCGCGUGCGGGAUGACGGCCUUCGGGUUGUAAACCGCUUUCGCCUGUGACGAAGCGUGAGUGACGGUAAUGGGUAAAGAAGCACCGGCUAACUACGUG